GCUGGUGUAGCUCAGUGGAUAGAGCGUCAGCCUGCAGACUUACGUGUCCCGGGUUCAAUUCCCGGUCAAGGGCA
rfam:Myotis lucifugus cont2.66444, whole genome shotgun sequence.